CCGGAGAUGAACACCUGCAUCAUGGUCGAGUACAAAGAUGACCGAGCCCACAAGGAUUUCCAGCCUUGGCCCGGCAGCUACGACUACUCGGUGGACUUCCUGGAUCGGUCCUUCCCGUCAGAGAGGCCCAGCCGGGACCACCCCUACGUCGAAGUAAGGAGUCGGCGGGUCGGGGGUCAUAAGGCACACGGUGAAACAUGGACUGCUGUGGGAUGACCUUUACAUCGGAUUCCAGACUCGACUGCAGUGCCAUCCUGACGUAGACCUUCAGCUGUGAGUCUGCCCUUCCCUUCCCCUCCUCUCCUUCCCCCCUCAACUCUUCUUCUUCUUAAUAAUAUCAACUCUCCUUUUUAAUAGUAAUAAUAACAACAGCAUUUGUUAAACACUUACUAUGUGGCAAGCACUGGUUUAAGUGCAGGGAAAGAUACAAAAUAAUCAGGUCCGACGCGGUCCCUGUUCCACAAUGGGUUCACAGUCUAACGUGCAGGGAGAACAAGUACUGAGUCCCCAUUUUUCAGACGAGUUAACGGAGGCAUAGAGAAGUGACUUGCCCAAGGACGUCCAGCAGCCACACCGAAGAGGUAGGAUUAGAAUCCAAGUCCUGUGACUCCAGAGCCUGUGUUCUUUCCGCUAGACCACCCUCUUCACUGUGGACAGGGAAUGUGUCUGUUUACUGUUAUAUUGUAAUAAUAAUAAUAAUGAUUAUGGUAUUUGUUAAAUUUGUUAAACGCUUGCUAUGUGCCAGGCACUGUACUACUCUCCCAAGUGCUUAGUAC
rnacentral:lncRNA from 1 species